UUGGUGUUUGUUUGGUAGGGGGGGUAACAAUCUGCGCGAACCUGGCCCUUUAAAUUACCUCCACAAUCAGUGUAGACGAGACAAGCGAAGUUGCCUGCAGGUCCCUGAGCCAGCUUUAGUCUCCAGCCUCUCCAUCAUCCAGAAUUUUCUCCUUUUACUUGGCACGAU